GAUGAACGCUGGCGGCGUGCCUAAUACAUGCAAGUCGAGCGAACGGACGAGAAGCUUGCUUUUCUGAUGUUAGCGGCGGACGGGUGAGUAACACGUGGAUAACCUACCUAUAAGACUGGGAUAACUUCGGGAAACCGGAGCUAAUACCGGAUAAUAUUUUGAACCGCAUGGUUCAAAAGUGAAAGACGGUCUUGCUGUCACUUAUAGAUGGAUCCGCGCUGCAUUAGCUAGUUGGUAAGGUAACGGCUUACCAAGGCAACGAUGCAUAGCCGACCUGAGAGGGUGAUCGGCCACACUGGAACUGAGACACGGUCCAGACUCCUACGGGAGGCAGCAGUAGGGAAUCUUCCGCAAUGGGCGAAAGCCUGACGGAGCAACGCCGCGUGAGUGAUGAAGGUCUUCGGAUCGUAAAACUCUGUUAUUAGGGAAGAACAUAUGUGUAAGUAACUGUGCACAUCUUGACGGUACCUAAUCAGAAAGCCACGGCUAACUACGUGCCAGCAGCCGCGGUAAUACGUAGGUGGCAAGCGUUAUCCGGAAUUAUUGGGCGUAAAGCGCGCGUAGGCGGUUUUUUAAGUCUGAUGUGAAAGCCCACGGCUCAACCGUGGAGGGUCAUUGGAAACUGGAAAACUUGAGUGCAGAAGAGGAAAGUGGAAUUCCAUGUGUAGCGGUGAAAUGCGCAGAGAUAUGGAGGAACACCAGUGGCGAAGGCGACUUUCUGGUCUGUAACUGACGCUGAUGCGCGAAAGCGUGGGGAUCAAACAGGAUUAGAUACCCUGGUAGUCCACGCCGUAAACGAUGAGUGCUAAGUGUUAGGGGGUUUCCGCCCCUUAGUGCUGCAGCUAACGCAUUAAGCACUCCGCCUGGGGAGUACGACCGCAAGGUUGAAACUCAAAGGAAUUGACGGGGACCCGCACAAGCGGUGGAGCAUGUGGUUUAAUUCGAAGCAACGCGAAGAACCUUACCAAAUCUUGACAUCCUUUGACAACUCUAGAGAUAGAGCCUUCCCCUUCGGGGGACAAAGUGACAGGUGGUGCAUGGUUGUCGUCAGCUCGUGUCGUGAGAUGUUGGGUUAAGUCCCGCAACGAGCGCAACCCUUAAGCUUAGUUGCCAUCAUUAAGUUGGGCACUCUAAGUUGACUGCCGGUGACAAACCGGAGGAAGGUGGGGAUGACGUCAAAUCAUCAUGCCCCUUAUGAUUUGGGCUACACACGUGCUACAAUGGACAAUACAAAGGGCAGCGAAACCGCGAGGUCAAGCAAAUCCCAUAAAGUUGUUCUCAGUUCGGAUUGUAGUCUGCAACUCGACUACAUGAAGCUGGAAUCGCUAGUAAUCGUAGAUCAGCAUGCUACGGUGAAUACGUUCCCGGGUCU
rnacentral:rRNA from 1 species